rnacentral:rRNA from 1 species
UCGAUUCCCUUAGUAGCGGCGAGCGAAACGGGAAGAGCCCAAACCAACAAGCUUGCUUGUUGGGGUUGUAGGACACUCUAUACGGAGUUACAAAGGACGACAUUAGACGAAUCAUCUGGAAAGAUGAAUCAAAGAAGGUAAUAAUCCUGUAGUCGAAAAUGUUGUCUCUCUUGAGUGGAUCCUGAGUACGACGGAGCACGUGAAAUUCCGUCGGAAUCUGGGAGGACCAUCUCCUAAGGCUAAAUACUCUCUAGUGACCGAUAGUGAACCAGUACCGUGAGGGAAAGGUGAAAAGCACCCCGGAAGGGGAGUGAAAUAGAACCUGAAACCGUGUGCUUACAAGUAGUCAGAGCCCGUUAAUGGGUGAUGGCGUGCCUUUUGUAGAAUGAACCGGCGAGUUACGAUUUGAUGCAAGGUUAAGCAGUAAAUGUGGAGCCGUAGCGAAAGCGAGUCUGAAUAGGGCGUUUAGUAUUUGGUCGUAGACCCGAAACCAGGUGAUCUACCCUUGGUCAGGUUGAAGUUCAGGUAACACUGAAUGGAGGACCGAACCGACUUACGUUGAAAAGUGAGCGGAUGAACUGAGGGUAGCGGAGAAAUUCCAAUCGAACCUGGAGAUAGCUGGUUCUCUCCGAAAUAGCUUUAGGGCUAGCCUCAAGUGAUGAUUAUUGGAGGUAGAGCACUGUUUGGACGAGGGGCCCCUCUCGGGUUACCGAAUUCAGACAAACUCCGAAUGCCAAUUAAUUUAACUUGGGAGUCAGAACAUGGGUGAUAAGGUCCGUGUUCGAAAGGGAAACAGCCCAGACCACCAGCUAAGGUCCCAAAAUAUAUGUUAAGUGGAAAAGGAUGUGGCGUUGCCCAGACAACUAGGAUGUUGGCUUAGAAGCAGCCAUCAUUUAAAGAGUGCGUAAUAGCUCACUAGUCGAGUGACACUGCGCCGAAAAUGUACCGGGGCUAAACAUAUUACCGAAGCUGUGGAUUGUCCUUUGGACAAUGGUAGGAGAGCGUUCUAAGGGCGUUGAAGCAUGAUCGUAAGGACAUGUGGAGCGCUUAGAAGUGAGAAUGCCGGUGUGAGUAGCGAAAGACGGGUGAGAAUCCCGUCCACCGAUUGACUAAGGUUUCCAGAGGAAGGCUCGUCCGCUCUGGGUUAGUCGGGUCCUAAGCUGAGGCCGACAGGCGUAGGCGAUGGAUAACAGGUUGAUAUUCCUGUACCACCUAUAAUCGUUUUAAUCGAUGGGGGGACGCAGUAGGAUAGGCGAAGCGUGCGAUUGGAUUGCACGUCUAAGCAGUAAGGCUGAGUAUUAGGCAAAUCCGGUACUCGUUAAGGCUGAGCUGUGAUGGGGAGAAGACAUUGUGUCUUCGAGUCGUUGAUUUCACACUGCCGAGAAAAGCCUCUAGAUAGAAAAUAGGUGCCCGUACCGCAAACCGACACAGGUAGUCAAGAUGAGAAUUCUAAGGUGAGCGAGCGAACUCUCGUUAAGGAACUCGGCAAAAUGACCCCGUAACUUCGGGAGAAGGGGUGCUCUUUAGGGUUAACGCCCAGAAGAGCCGCAGUGAAUAGGCCCAAGCGACUGUUUAUCAAAAACACAGGUCUCUGCUAAACCGUAAGGUGAUGUAUAGGGGCUGACGCCUGCCCGGUGCUGGAAGGUUAAGAGGAGUGGUUAGCUUCUGCGAAGCUACGAAUC